rnacentral:rRNA from 1 species
AUUGAACGCUGGCGGCAGGCCUAACACAUGCAAGUCGAACGGUAACAGGAAGAAGCUUGCUUCUUUGCUGACGAGUGGCGGACGGGUGAGUAAUGUCUGGGAAACUGCCUGAUGGAGGGGGAUAACUACUGGAAACGGUAGCUAAUACCGCAUAAUGUCGCAAGACCAAAGAGGGGGACCUUCGGGCCUCUUGCCAUCGGAUGUGCCCAGAUGGGAUUAGCUAGUAGGUGGGGUAACGGCUCACCUAGGCGACGAUCCCUAGCUGGUCUGAGAGGAUGACCAGCCACACUGGAACUGAGACACGGUCCAGACUCCUACGGGAGGCAGCAGUGGGGAAUAUUGCACAAUGGGCGCAAGCCUGAUGCAGCUAUGCCGCGUGUAUGAAGAAGGCCUUCGGGUUGUAAAGUACUUCCAGCGGGGAGGAAGGGAGUAAAGUUAAUACCUUUGCUCAUUGACGUUACCCGCAGAAGAAGCACCGGCUAACUCCGUG